rnacentral:rRNA from 1 species
UUACUGAGUGAGGGCCCUCUGGGUCCAACCUCCCACCCGUGUUUAUUGUACCUUGUUGCUUCGGUGCGCCCGCCUCACGGCCGCCGGGGGGCUUCUGCCCCCGGGUCCGCGCGCACCGGAGACACUAUUGAACUCUGUCUGAAGAUUGCAGUCUGAGCAUAAACUAAAUAAGUUAAAACUUUCAACAACGGAUCUCUUGGUUCCGGCAUCGAUGAAGAACGCAGCGAAAUGCGAUAACUAAUGUGAAUUGCAGAAUUCAGUGAAUCAUCGAGUCUUUGAACGCACAUUGCGCCCCCUGGUAUUCCGGGGGGCAUGCCUGUCCGAGCGUCAUUGCUGCCCUCAAGCACGGCUUGUGUGUUGGGCUCCGUCCCCCCGGGGACGGGUCCGAAAGGCAGCGGCGGCACCGAGUCCGGUCCUCGAGCGUAUGGGGCUUUGUCACCCGCUCUGUAGGCCCGGCCGGCGCCAGCCGACAACCAAUCAUCCUUUUUUCAGGUUGACCUCGGAUCAGGUAGGGAUACCCGCUGAACUUAAGCAUAUCAAUAAGCGGAGGAAAAGAAACCAACAGGGAUUACCUCAGUAACGGCGAGUGAAGCGGUAAGAGCUCAAAUUUGAAAGCUGGCUCCUUCGGGGUCCGCAUUGUAAUUUGCAGAGGAUGUUUCGGGAGCAGCCCCCAUCUAAGUGUCCUGGAACGGACCGUCAUAGAGGGUGAGAAUCCCGUAUGGGAUGGGGUGUCUGCGCCCAUGUGAA